rnacentral:ncRNA from 1 species
AUCUUAUCAAGAGCAGGUGGAGGGACUAGCCCUAUGAAGCCCGGCAACCGGCGGUCAUAUACCGUACGGUGCUAAUUCUAGCAGAGAUACAGGUACAUCCUACGAUGAAGUAUCUGGUAUCUGCUGACAGAUGAGAG